rnacentral:pre_miRNA from 1 species
UACCCUGUAGAACCGAAUUUGUGUGAUCAAGUCACAGUCACAGAUUCGAUUCUAGGGGAGUA